ACGGGUGAGGAAUACAUCGGAAUCUACCUUUUCGUGGGGGAUAACGUAGGGAAACUUACGCUAAUACCGCAUAAGACCUUCGGGUGAAAGUGGGGGACCUUCGGGCCUCACGCGGAUAGAUGAGCCGAUGUCGGAUUAGCUUGUUGGCGGGGUAAAAGCCCACCAAGGCGACGAUCCGUAGCUGGUCUGAGAGGAUGAUCAGCCACACUGGAACUGAGACACGGUCCAGACUCCUACGGGAGGCAGCAGUGGGGAAUAUUGGACAAUGGGCGCAAGCCUGAUCCAGCCAUACCGCGUGGGUGAAGAAGGCCUUCGGGUUGUAAAGCCCUUUUGUUGGGAAAGAAAUCCUGUUGGUUAAUAACCAGUAGGGAUGACGGUACCCAAAGAAUAAGCACCGGCUAACUUCGUGCCAGCAGCCGCGGUAAUACGAAGGGUGCAAGCGUUACUCGGAAUUACUGGGCGUAAAGCGUGCGUAGGUGGUUGUUUAAGUCUGCUGUGAAAGCCCUGGGCUCAACCUGGGAAUUGCAGUGGAUACUGGGCGACUAGAGUGUGGUAGAGGAUAGUGGAAUUUCCGGUGUAGC
rnacentral:rRNA from 1 species